GGCCCCGUAGCUCAGUUGGAUAGAGCGAGUGUUUCCUAAACGCUAGGUCGCAUGUUCAAUCCAUGCCGGGGUCACCA
rnacentral:tRNA from 1 species